AUUGAACGCUGGCGGCAGGCCUAACACAUGCAAGUCGAACGAGUGGCGGACGGGUGAGUAAUGUCUGGGAAACUGCCUGAUGGAGGGGGAUAACUACUGGAAACGGUAGCUAAUACCGCAUACCAUCGGAUGUGCCCAGAUGGGAUUAGCUAGUAGGUGGGGUAAAGGCUCACCUAGGCGACGAUCCCUAGCUGGUCUGAGAGGAUGACAAGCAACACUGGGACUGUGACAAGGGCCAGACUCCUACGGGAGGCAGGAGUGGGGAAUAUUGCACAAUGGGCGCAAGCCUGAUGCAGCCAUGCCGAGUGGAGGAAGAAGGGCUUCGGGUUGUAAAGUUCUUUCAGCAGGGAGGCGUUACCCAAAGAGAAAGCACCGGCUAACUCCGUGCCAGCCGCCGCGGUAAUAC
rnacentral:rRNA from 1 species